GGCUAAAAAUUUCAUCAAUCUAUACUAUUAAAAACUAGCGUGGCUGACAGAAUAACUAGAUAGUGACACAUGGCGUGCUAUAUGUACCUCAUAUUGACAUACAUGAACCAAUUUUAAACAGUAAAAAUGGAUGAAAUUUUUAACA
rfam:Gossypium hirsutum cultivar TM-1 unplaced genomic scaffold scaffold1822.1, whole genome shotgun sequence